AAUGAACGCUGGCGGCGUGCCUAACACAUGCAAGUCGGAUGUGCCGCAAGGUGCAUGGCAGACGGGUGAGUAACGCGUGGGGAAUCUACCUCUUAGUGGGGAAUAACGCUCCGAAAGGAGUGGUAAUACCGCAUGAGACCUUCGGCUGGGAUGCUGGAGGUGAAACCUGGGGACCGCAAGGCCUGGGGCUAGGAGAGGAUCCUGCGUCUGAUUAGCUAGUUGGCGGGGUAAUGGCCCACCAAGGCGACGAUCAGUAGCCGGCCUGAGAGGGUGAUCGGCCACGCUGGAACUGAGACACGGUCCAGACUCCUACGGGAGGCAGCAGUGGGGAAUUCUGGACAAUGGGCGCAAGCCUGAUCCAGCAAUGCCGCGUGCAGGAAGAAGGCCUUCGGGUUGUAAACUGCCUUUGUACGGAACGAAACGGCUCUGGUUAAUACCUGGGGCUAAUGACGGUACCGUAAGAAUAAGCACCGGCUAACUACGUGCCAGCCGCCGCAGUAA
rnacentral:rRNA from 1 species